CCUACGGGGGGCAGCAGUGGGGAAUAUUGCACAAUGGGCGCAAGCCUGAUGCAGCCAUGCCGCGUGUGUGAAGAAGGCCUUCGGGUUGUAAGCACUUUCAGCGGGGAGGAAGGCGGUGAGGUUAAUAACCUCAUCGAUUGACGUUACCCGCAGAAGAAGCACCGGCUAACUCCGUGCCAGCAGCCGCGGUAAUACGGAGGGUGCAAGCGUUAAUCGGAAUUACUGGGCGUAAAGCGCACGCAGGCGGUCUGUCAAGUCGGAUGUGAAAUCCCCGGGCUCAACCUGGGAACUGCAUUCGAAACUGGCAGGCUAGAGUCUUGUAGAGGGGGGUAGAAUUCCAGGUGUAGCGGUGAAAUGCGUAGAGAUCUGGAGGAAUACCGGUGGCGAAGGCGGCCCCCUGGACAAAGACUGACGCUCAGGUGCGAAAGCGUGGGGAGCAAACAGGAUUAGAUACCCUUGUAGUC
rnacentral:rRNA from 1 species